rnacentral:rRNA from 1 species
GAUGAACGCUGGCGGCGUGCUUAACACAUGCAAGUCGAGCGGAAGGACCAGCAGCCCCUUUCUCUUUUGUGGGAGGCGGACGGGUAAGGAACACGUAGAAAACCUACCUAUAAGCCUCAGCUAAGUUCGGGAAACCGGAACUAAUACCGAAUUACAGUUAGAACCGCAGGGUGCAACCGUGAGAGACGGACGAUAUGUCAGUUAUAGAUGGAUCCGCGCCGGCUUAGCUAGUUGGUGAGGUGAGGGCUUACCAAGGCAACGAUGGCUAGCGGUCCUGGGAGGGUGAGCGGCCACACUGGCACUGGGACACGGUCCCGGCUCCUACGCGAGCGGGCAGCAGGGGAUCGGCCGCAAUGGGCGUGAGCGUGACGGUGCAGCGGCGAGUGAGUGUUGAGGGUCUUCGGCUCGUGGAUCUCUGUUAUUAGGGAAGGACAUGUAUGUAAGUAACUGUGAGCGUCUUGACGGUACCUGUAGAAAAAGCCACGGCUAACUACGUG